rnacentral:rRNA from 1 species
AACGCUGGCGGCGUGCCUAAUACAUGCAAGUCGAGCGGACAGAUGGGAGCUUGCUCCCUGAUGUUAGCGGCGGACGGGUGAGUAACACGUGGGUAACCUGCCUGUAAGACUGGGAUAACUCCGGGAAACCGGGGCUAAUACCGGAUGCUUGUUUGAACCGCAUGGUUCAGACAUAAAAGGUGGCUUCGGCUACCACUUACAGAUGGACCCGCGGCGCAUUACUAGUUGGUGAGGUAACGGCUCACCAAGGCGACGAUGCGUAGCCGACCUGAGAGGGUGAUCGGCCACACUGGGACUGAGACACGGCCCAGACUCCUACGGGAGGCAGCAGUAGGGAAUCUUCCGCAAUGGACGAAAGUCUGACGGAGCAACGCCGCGUGAGUGAUGAAGGUUUUCGGAUCGUAAAGCUCUGUUGUUAGGGAAGAACAAGUGCCGUUCAAAUAGGGCGGCACCUUGACGGUACCUAACCAGAAAGCCACGGCUAACUACGUGCCAGCAGCCGCGGUAAUACGUAGGUGGCAAGCGUUGUCCGGAAUUAUUGGGCGUAAAGGGCUCGCAGGCGGUUUCUUAAGUCUGAUGUGAAAGCCCCCGGCUCAACCGGGGAGGGUCAUUGGAAACUGGGGAACUUGAGUGCAGAAGAGGAGAGUGGAAUUCCACGUGUAGCGGUGAAAUGCGUAGAGAUGUGGAGGAACACCAGUGGCGAAGGCGACUCUCUGGUCUGUAACUGACGCUGAGGAGCGAAAGCGUGGGGAGCGAACAGGAUUAGAUACCCUGGUAGUCCACGCCGUAAACGAUGAGUGCUAAGUGUUAGGGGGUUUCCGCCCCUUAGUGCUGCAGCUAACGCAUUAAGCACUCCGCCUGGGGAGUACGGUCGCAACUGAAACUCAAAGGAAUUGACGGGGGCCCGCACAAGCGGUGGAGCAUGUUUAAUUCGAAGCAACGCGAAGAACCUUACCAGGUCUUGACAUCCUCUGACAAUCCUAGAGAUAGGACGUCCCCUUCGGGGGCAGAGUGACAGGUGGUGCAUGGUUGUCGUCAGCUCGUGUCGUGAGAUGUUGGGUUAAGUCCCGCAACGAGCGCAACCCUUGAUCUUAGUUGCCAGCAUUCAGUUGGGCACUCUAAGGUGACUGCCGGUGACAAACCGGAGGAAGGUGGGGAUGACGUCAAAUCAUCAUGCCCCUUAUGACCUGGGCUACACACGUGCUACAAUGGGCAGAACAAAGGGCAGCGAAACCGCGAGGUUAAGCCAAUCCCACAAAUCUGUUCUCAGUUCGGAUCGCAGUCUGCAACUCGAGCGUGAAGCUGGAAUCGCUAGUAAUCGCGGAUCAGCAUGCCGCGGUGAAUACGUUCCCGGGCCUUGUACACACCGCCCGUCACACCACGAGAGUUUGUAACACCAAGUGUGAGGUAACCUUUUUGGAGCCAGCCGCCGAAGGUGGGACAGAUGAUUGGGG